AUUGAACGCUGGCGGUAUGCUUAACACAUGCAAGUCGAACGGUAACAGGUCUAGCUUGCUAGACGCUGACGAGUGGCGGACGGGUGAGUAACGCGUAGGGAUCUGUCUAGAAGUUUGGGACAACACGGGGAAACUCGUGCUAAUACCGGAUACGCUCUACGGAGGAAAGACUGGAUUUAUUCAGUUGCUUUUGGGUGAACCUGCGUUGGAUUAGCUUGUUGGUGGGGUAAAGGCCUACCAAGGCGACGAUCCAUAGCUGUUCUGAGAGGAAGAUCAGCCACACUGGGACUGAGACACGGCCCAGACUCCUACGGGAGGCAGCAGUGGGGAAUAUUGGACAAUGGGCGCAAGCCUGAUCCAGCAAUACCGCGUGUGUGAAGAAGGCCUGAGGGUUGUAAAGCACUUUCAGCGAGGAGGAAGGUGAUGAUGUUAAUAGCAUUGUUAUUUGACGUUACUCGCAGAAGAAGCACCGG
rnacentral:rRNA from 1 species